rnacentral:rRNA from 1 species
CACGUAGGGGGCGAGCGUUGUCCGGAAUUAUUGGGCGUAAAGAGCUCGUAGGCGGUUUGUCGCGUCUGCUGUGAAAACUCGAGGCUCAACCUCGGGCUUGCAGUGGGUACGGGCAGACUAGAGUGCGGUAGGGGUGACUGGAAUUCCUGGUGUAGCGGUGAAAUGCGCAGAUAUCAGGAGGAACACCGGUGGCGAAGGCGGGUCUCUGGGCCGUAACUGACGCUGAGGAGCGAAAGCAUGGGGAGCGAACAGG